GAGUAAUGUCUGGGAAACUGCCUGAUGGAGGGGGAUAACUACUGGAAACGGUGGCUAAUACCGCAUAACGUCGCAAGACCAAAGAGGGGGACCUUCGGGCCUCUUGCCAUCAGAUGUGCCCAGAUGGGAUUAGCUUGUUGGUGAGGUAACGGCUCACCAAGGCGACGAUCCCUAGCUGGUCUGAGAGGAUGACCAGCCACACUGGAACUGAGACACGGUCCAGACUCCUACGGGAGGCAGCAGUGGGGAAUAUUGCACAAUGGGCGCAAGCCUGAUGCAGCCAUGCCGCGUGUAUGAAGAAGGCCUUCGGGUUGUAAAGUACUUUCAGCGGGGAGGAAGGUGUUGUGGUUAAUAACCACAGCAAUUGACGUUACCCGCAGAAGAAGCACCGGCUAACUCCGUGCCAGCAGCCGCGGUAAUACGGAGGGUGCAAGCGUUAAUCGGAAUUACUGGGCGUAAAGCGCACGCAGGCGGUCUGUCAAGUCGGAUGUGAAAUCCCCGGGCUCAACCUGGGAACUGCAUUCGAAACUGGCAGGCUUGAGUCUUGUAGAGGGGGGUAGAAUUCCAGGUGUAGCGGUGAAAUGCGUAGAGAUCUGGAGGAAUACCGGUGGCGAAGGCGGCCCCCUGGACAAAGACUGACGCUCAGGUGCGAAAGCGUGGGGAGCAAACAGGAUUAGAUACCCUGGUAGUCCACGCCGUAAACGAUGUCUACUUGGAGGUUGUGCCCUUGAGGCGUGGCUUCCGGAGCUAACGCGUUAAGUAGACCGCCUGGGGAGUACGGCCGCAAGGUUAAAACUCAAAUGAAUUGACGGGGGCCCGCACAAGCGGUGGAGCAUGUGGUUUAAUUCGAUGCAACGCGAAGAACCUUACCUGGUCUUGACAUCCACAGAACUUUCCAGAGAUGGAUUGGUGCCUUCGGGAACUGUGAGACAGGUGCUGCAUGGCUGUCGUCAGCUCGUGUUGUGAAAUGUUGGGUUAAGUCCCGCAACGAGCGCAACCCUUAUCCUUUGUUGCCAGCGGUUAGGCCGGGAACUCAAAGGAGACUGCCA
rnacentral:rRNA from 1 species